UGCUGCCCCCGCUUUCGCAGCCCGCCUCCUCCUUGAUGAUGCAGACAAGAUCCGCUCUUCCCCCUCCCAGGUCCCCAGUCCCCCAACGGGUGACCCGGCCGCAAAGUUGCACUUCUGGAGCCGGGAUUACCACAGACAAAAUCUAUCUGUGGGAACAAAAUACCCGCUUUCAGGAGCUCUUCUCUGGGCUGGAAGGCCAGAAGGUGGAAACGGACACACCCACCCGUGGGGCGCGCCUCUUGCUGUGGUGGAGCCCCGGGUCCCAGAGCCGAGGUCGGCGCCCCGCCAGUCCUCUGGAGCGAUAGGGGAGCCCUUGCGGAUUCCCGGUUUUCCUGGAGCAGGCGCUACGGCCCCACGCCCCUCAGACUCUUUCCUAUCAGACGCCGCCUGGGGGGGUCGGGGUCCCCCUGGCGGGCUGCUCGGGCGCUGCGCGAGCGGAGCCAAACUGCUCCCACCUGACACUGCGGACGCCCCCUCUGUCUACACCGCCCUAGGGCGUCUAACAGAUUUGUACCAAAUGUGGGUAAGGAUCACUUUAUGACUGCUGGCAAUCCAGGAGUUUCACAGUCAAAGGAACCUACUAGAUCCAGAAAGGGCAAAGGAUUGACAGUCGAGCACAUUCUGAUGAAUUGUACCCUUAGGGAAAAAAAGAAGAAAACCAAGAAGGCCUCUGAUACCAUCUAUGGGAAGGACUUGGUCGUCCAUCUUCCACUGCCUUUCUCAGAGGACCACACUAAUGGUGCGAUCUGAGAGGAACUGCACGGGAAGGAGGGGAACCUGGGAUUUCAUUCUGGAUCUGCACGUACUGCCCAGGUGGCUUUGAGCAAGGAGGAAGAGACUAGCAUUGUUGAACACCUUCCAGAUAAAGAAGACGAAACACAGAGAGAUUAAGUAAUUUGUCCUACAUCACACGGCAAGUAAGUGAUGGUCCAAGAAAGAAGAACACGGAAAUUUUACAACGCAAAAUGUUAGUGUGUCUUUGUACACUGUUGGGGCAAAUACAAAUGAAAAGAAUGGCAGAAGAUAGUCAUGUGAAGUGUCUUGUCAGGGAUUGGUCUCCCCUCAAUAGCAUCUCAAAAGGAAACAGGGACUGAGGAUUGGUGAGAAGUGAGGCCCGGGGACAGAAAGCCCCAGAAAGCUUGCCUAGGUACAGCUAGGGAGUCUCGCUUUUGGAAGGGCUGGGAGAGAAGUAUCCAUUGUCCUACUCCAACACCUUUCUAUGUUUUAGAUACCUCUAACAUCCACCUAUCAGAAGAAUAAUUUAAGAACAUAGCCGACGACACUCUAUUUUGACUUUUUAUAAAAUGCUCCACUGUUAACUACUUGUAAAAGAGUUUUAUUUUAUAUGACAAUGGCUGUUCACAUGGUAGUCAUUG